rnacentral:rRNA from 1 species
UGGAGGGCUGAAUGUACCCGGAGAAUAAGGAUCGGCUAACUCCGUGCCAGCAGCCGCGGUAAUACGGAGGAUCCGAGCGUUAUCCGGAUUUAUUGGGUUUAAAGGGUGCGUAGGCGGCACUUUAAGUCAGGGGUGAAAGACGGCAGCUCAACUGUCGCAGUGCCCUUGAUACUGAAGUGCUUGAAUGCGGUUGAAGACGGCGGAAUGAGACAAGUAGCGGUGAAAUGCAUAGAUAUGUCUCAGAACACCGAUUGCGAAGGCAGCUGUCUAAGCCGUUAUUGACGCUGAUGCACGAAAGCGUGGGGAUCGAACAGGAUUAGAUACCCUGGUAGUCCACGCCCUAAACGAUGAUGACUCGAUGUUUGCGAUAUACAGUAAGCGUCCAAGCGAAAGCGUUAAGUCAUCCACCUGGGGAGUACGCCCGCAAGGGUGAAACUCAAAGGAAUUGACGGGGGCCCGCACAAGCGGAGGAGCAUGUGGUUUAAUUCGAUGAUACGCGAGGAACCUUACCCGGGCUUGAAAGUUACUGAAGCAUCCAGAGACGGAUGCGUCCUUCGGGACAGGAAACUAGGUGCUGCAUGGCUGUCGUCAGCUCGUGCCGUGAGGUGUUGGGUUAAGUCCCGCAACGAGCGCAACCCCUAUGUUUAGUUGCCAGCACGUKAAGGUGGGGACUCUAAACAGACUGCCUGCGCAAGCAGAGAGGAAGGCGGGGACGACGUCAAGUCAUCAUGGCCCUUACGUCCGGGGCUACACACGUGCUACAAUGGAUGGUACAGCGGGCAGCUACACAGCAAUGUGAUGCCAAUCUCGAAAAGCCAUUCACAGUUCGGAUCGGGGUCUGCAACUCGACCCCGUGAAGUUGGAUUCGCUAGUAAUCGCGUAUCAGCAAUGACGCGGUGAAUACGUUCCCGGGCCUUGUACACACCGCCCGUCAAGCCAUGAAAGCUGGGGGUACCUAAA